rnacentral:rRNA from 1 species
GGGAGCCCGGAGAUGGGCACUGAGACAAGGGCCCAGGCCCUACGGGGCGCAGCAGUCGCGAAAACUUUGCAAUACACGAAAGUGUGACAGGGCUAUCCCGAGUGCCAUCCGCUGAGGAAGGCUUUUACCCAGUCUAGAAAGCUGGGAGAAUAAGGAGAGGGCAAGUCUGGUGUCAGCCGCCGCGGUAAUACCAGCUCUCCGAGUGGUGUGGAUGUUUAUUGGGCCUAAAGCAUCCGUAGCUGGCCAAGUUAGUCCCCUGUUAAAUCCACCGAAUUAAUCGUUGGAAUGCGGGGGAUACUGCUCGGCUAGGGGACGAGAGAGGCCGACGGUAUUUUCGGGGUAGGGGUGAAAUCCUAUAAUCCCGGGAAGACCACCAGUGGCGAAGGCUGUCGGCUAGAACGUGCUUGACGGUGAGGGAUGAAAGCUGGGGGAGCGAACCGGAUUAGAUACCCGGGUAGUCCCAGCCGUAAACGAUGCAGGCUAGGUGUUUGGGCGGCCACGUGCCGCUCUAAU